GAUGAACGCUGGCGGCGUGCCUAAUACAUGCCAGUCGAGCGAACGGACGAGAAGCUUGCUUCUCUGAUGUUAGCGGCGGACGGGUGAGAAACACGUGGAUAACCUACCUAUAAGACUGGGAUAACUUCGGGAAACCGGAGCUAAUACCGGAUAAUAUUUUGAACCGCAUGGUUCAAAAGUGAAAGACGGUCUUGCUGUCACUUAUAGAUGGAUCCGCGCUCCAUUAGCUAGUUGGUAAGGUAACGGCUUACCAAGGCAACGAUGCAUAGCCGACCUGAGAGGGUGAUCGGCCACACUGGAACUGAGACACGGUCCAGACUCCUACGGGAGGCAGCAGUAGGGAAUCUUCCGCAAUGGGCGAAAGCCUGACGGAGCAACGCCGCGUGAGUGAUGAAGGUCUUCGGAUCGUAAAACUCUGUUAUUAGGGAAGAACAUAUGUGUAAGUAACUGUGCACAUCUUGACGGUACCUAAUCAGAAAGCCACGGCUAACUACGUG
rnacentral:rRNA from 1 species